rnacentral:misc_RNA from 1 species
AACCAUAGAAACCUGCGGAGUACCUGCGGAAGGAUCAUUACCGAGUGUGGCCCCAUUUUUAAAACAAAUAGGGGUACCUCCCGUCCUUUGCAGGGCCCUUUGGGGCUUUUUGAACUUUGCUUCGGCGGGUUUUAUCCCGCCGGAACACCCUCAAGAAAAUCUUUUUAAAAAUACUGUCGUCUGAGCAUUUACAAAAUAAAACAAAACUUUCAACAACGGAUCUCAGAUCGGAAGAGCACA